AGCUGGUCCAAAGGCAGUAAAUUAUCUCCAUUGUUCAGUCAGUUACAGAACUCCUGUUCUACUCUUUUCCCCCUUCUCACUACUGCACUUUACUAGUCUUAA
rnacentral:Y_RNA from 1 species